AAUGAGAGAAACAUCAGUUUUCAUUUACAGCUGCGGUUUUUGCCCCGAUUGGAAAUGUUUGUGGAUAUUUUGUAAAAAUAUUUACACAUACAUAUAUGUCGGCAUUGAGGAAUUUAUAUUUAUAAGGUCCCAGAAUUAAAUCUUUGAUUGCAACUGAUUGAGUUCCUUGACAGAGAUAAUUUUUAACUAAAAACACAGCAGAGGCGGAAAAAUUAAAAUAAUGCUUCAGUUUUAGGCACAUCAUAUCAUGAUGAACCCAGUCAAAAGCUUUUGAAUGAUCCAACAGUACAAGACAUGUUACCUGUCCAUCAUAUAUCCUAGAUCUAAUAUCUGUGUCUCGGUUUGAACCCAGGCUGUUUGCUGAAUAAAAGGCGGUACUAACUUGCUUAUGGAUUAUCGUUUCAAAAACCAUUUUUUUAACUCGGGCGCUGGUAUUAUUUGUGAAUUUUUCCAUGCAGACGGAUGUAUCUCCAGUGGUUAAAAUGGCGUUGAAGAAGCAUGUAAUGUAGGGCAGUAUAAAUGGUAAAGCGUAUUUUAUGAAUUUUGGAUAGAAGUAUCCAAGCCAACUGCAUUUGAUUUGAUUUGACAUGCAAGCCUCACAUAUAUCAACGGGUCGAAUACAUAAAUUUUCAAAAGUCUAACUAUCCUUUUUUAUAAAGAAAUUUUAUUUCAACAAAAAAACCAAUAUUAAAAAUUUUGGAAUUUCCCCUCUUUUUAGAUGGUUUGCGUCGCUUCGUCAGCUUUGGAUGAAUGUUAAUGAACUGCCAGUGUAGAAUGCGGCAUUGGCGGCGGCCUUUGCUGUCAAUAAGGUCCCUUCGAGUUCUGGUCUGUCCGUCCGGCCGUCUAGUCUUUGGUCAAAGUCUGCAUCACAACCAACGGGUUUUCAAAAAAUAGAAUCAACUGUUCGAGAGUCAAACGUUCGUAUUGCAGUCCUGGUUUCCUGGCCAUGAUAAUCUUUAUGGAAUACCUUAUUGACGCUGGGAUAUGCAACAGCGUCUGGGUUAUGGUGGCUGUGGUUGUGGCCAGAGGUAGAACUCUUGGUAUGAGUAUUUGAUUAACUCGAGUAGAGUGAGAAAAUGAGAAAAUAUUUACCAGAAAUAUUGGAUCACGGGAUUUAAAGAUUUUGCGAACUACUAUAUAUAUAUAAAAUAUACCUCAAGGCAGUACAGGAGAUGUGGCAUUAUAAGAGCAAGAA